UGCCUGAUGGGGUUCGCGUCCCUCCUGGA
rnacentral:sRNA from 1 species